AACGCGAAGAACCUUACCAGGACUUGACAUGCCACUUUUUCCCUGAAAGGGGAAGUUCCCGAGUGGACACAGGUGGUGCAUGGCUGUCGUCAGCUCGUGUCUUGAGAUGUUGGGUUAAGUCCCGCAACGAGCGCAACCCUUGUUUUGAGUUGCUAUUUUUAGGAAACUCAAAAGACUGCCGGUGAGAAGCCGGAGGAAGGUGAGGAUGACGUCAAGUCAGCAUGCCCCUUACGUCCUGGGCGACACACGUGCUACAAUGGCCGGGACAAAGAGAUGCAAUCCCGCGAGGGGGAGCCAACCUCAAAAACCCGGUCUCAGUUCGGAUUGUAGGCUGCAACUCGCCUACAUGAAGUCGGAAUCGCUAGUAAUCGCAGUCAGGUCAGACAUACUGCGGUGAAUACGUUCCCGGGUCUUGUACACACCG
rnacentral:rRNA from 1 species